UCACGGGAGACACACGGCGGGUGCUAACGUCCGUCGUGAAGAGGGAAACAACCCAGACCGCCAGCUAAGGUCCCAAAGUCAUGGUUAAGUGGGAAACGAUGUGGGAAGGCCCAGACAGCCAGGAUGUUGGCUUAGAAGCAGCCAUCAUUUAAAGAAAGCGUAAUAGCUCACUGGUCGAGUCGGCCUGCGCGGAAGAUGUAACGGGGCUAAACCAUGCACCGAAGCUGCGGCAGCGAACGUAUCACUUAAAGCGAUUCAGCGGGUUACGAUUGACGGAGCGAAGCGACGUCAAAGCGUAUACAAAGUCGAGUCGGUUUAAGGAUACGUUCGUUGGGUAGGGGAGCGUUCUGUAAGCCCGUGAAGGUGGCCUGUGAGGGUUGCUGGAGGUAUCAGAAGUGCGAAUGCUGACAUAAGUAACGAUAAAGCGGGUGAAAAGCCCGCUCGCCGGAAGACCAAGGGUUCCUGUCCAACGUUAAUCGGGGCAGGGUGAGUCGACCCCUAAGGCGAGGCCGAAAGGCGUAGUCGAUGGGAAACGGGUUAAUAUUCCCGUACUUGGUGUUACUGCGAAGGGGGGACGGAGAAGGCUAUGUUGGCCGGGCGACGGUUGUCCCGGUUUAAGCGUGUAGGUGUGUGUUCCAGGUAAAUCCGGUUCACUUUAACACUGAGGCGUGACGACGAGGCACUACGGUGCUGAAGCAACAAAUGCCCUGCUUCCAGGAAAAGCCUCUAAGCAUCAGGUAACAUCAAAUCGUACCCCAAACCGACACAGGUGGUCAGGUAGAGAAUACCAAGGCGCUUGAGAGAACUCGGGUGAAGGAACUAGGCAAAAUGGUGCCGUAACUUCGGGAGAAGGCACGCUGACACGUAGGUGAAGUGAUUUACUCAUGGAGCUGAAGUCAGUCGAAGAUACCAGCUGGCUGCAACUGUUUAUUAAAAACACAGCACUGUGCAAACACGAAAGUGGACGUAUACGGUGUGACGCCUGCCCGGUGCCGGAAGGUUAAUUGAUGGGGUCAGCGUAAGCGAAGCUCCUGAUCGAAGCCCCGGUAAACGGCGGCCGUAACUAUAACGGUCCUAAGGUAGCGAAAUUCCUUGUCGGGUAAGUUCCGACCUGCACGAAUGGCGUAAUGAUGGCCAGGCUGUCUCCACCCGAGACUCAGUGAAAUUGAACUCGCUGUGAAGAUGCAGUGUACCCGCGGCAAGACGGAAAGACCCCGUGAACCUUUACUAUAGCUUGACACUGAACAUUGAGCCUUGAUGUGUAGGAU
rnacentral:rRNA from 1 species